UGUACGCGCUGGAUUCCCCCAACGCCGUACGUUGCAAAACUGAGAGUUGAUGGAGCUAUAUCAAGAGACCAAGGCGAAGGGUCGGUUAGUGCAAUUUGCAGAAAUUCAGAUGGCAACUUCUUGGGAGCUUCAGUAAUUAAGUUCAGAGGAAUCUCAGACCCAACAACUUUAGAGGCUCUAGCUUGCCGUGAAGCACUGGCAAUAGCAGCGGAUCUCCAUCUAACUCAUGUUGUUGUUGCCUCAGAUUGCCAAGGGGUGGUUCGGGACAUCACAAACCACACAUGUGGGGAGUACGCAAGCAUAGUUAAGGAAAUAAUAGAGACAGCUAGAGAUUUCCAACAUUGCUCCUUUGUUUUUGAGGGGCGAGAAACUAAUAUCGAGGCACACAACCUCGCUAAGCACGCUUUUGGUCUGGGGUACGGGCGCCAUGUGUGGCUUUUAAACCCGCCAUACUUCAAUUGUAUUCCUAUGAACAUUAUUGAUCAAUAA
rnacentral:rRNA from 1 species